rnacentral:rRNA from 1 species
GCUAAUACCGCAUAACGUCGCAAGACCAAAGAGGGGGACCUUCGGGCCUCUUGCCAUCAGAUGUGCCCAGAUGGGAUUAGCUAGUAGGUGGGGUAAUGGCUCACCUAGGCGACGAUCCCUAGCUGGUCUGAGAGGAUGACCAGCCACACUGGAACUGAGACACGGUCCAGACUCCUACGGGAGGCAGCAGUGGGGAAUAUUGCACAAUGGGCGCAAGCCUGAUGCAGCCAUGCCGCGUGUGUGAAGAAGGCCUUCGGGUUGUAAAGCACUUUAAGUUGGGGGGAAGGGUACUUACCUAAUACGUGAGUAUUUUGACGUUACCGACAGAAUAAGCACCGGCUAACUCUGUGCCAGCAGCCGCGGUAAUACAGAGGGUGCAAGCGUUAAUCGGAAUUACUGGGCGUAAAGCGCGCGUAGGUGGUUUGUUAAGUUGGAUGUGAAAGCCCCGGGCUCAACCUGGGAACUGCAUCCAAAACUGGCAAGCUAGAGUAUGGUAGAGGGUGGUGGAAUUUCCUGGGUAGCGGUGAAAUG